rnacentral:lncRNA from 1 species
GAAAAUAAACCCAGAAGCAACUAGCCAAACAAGCCCUCUAUUCGUCCAUAGCUUUUUGAUUAGCCAUCCUGUCUGUAUCUCUGAAAAGGUUUUUUAAAAAUCUUGUAACUAUCAAUUGGAAGUGGAACCCUGUUUUCAUAAACCAGUUCAAAGUUUCCAGCAAACAACCGACCUUCCAAGGGAUUUAUCUAAGUCCUCAAAAUUGAUAUGAACAUGAAAUUUGUACUCACUUAAAAUAGAGUGAUAGAUCUUUAAAAUUCUUUUAAAAUGAACUCAAAAUUCUAUUUAAAUUAAAAGUUAUAGCGUUUGGAAGUUGGUACUGCAGAACCAGAAAAGCAGAAAAAUCUGCAGCGACCACUAAAAUUCAAAAAAUCAUAUCUUCCAAACCACUUGACCAAAUUCCCUGAAAUUUUUAUGAAAUAUCCAAGACACACUAAAAUUUUACAGAAAAAUACUUUCAUCUAAAAAUUAGGUCUGGACUGCUCCCAAAAAGUCAUUCGUUCUGCUGCCAGUUAAGCAGCUUUCUGCUAAAUUCUGCACAAAAUAUUUCUAACAACCUCACAUACCAAAUCAUAUAUUUAAGCCUAGGAAUCAUCUAAAACCACAUUUCUAACCUUCUUUUGACUUAACGAAGUUGCCCAAGAACUCUUAAUUCAAUAUAUCACAAUUUCACAUCAUAGGUGCAACAUAACCAUAUUAUCACCUCAUCCAUUCUUUAGCAUCUCAAGUUAUGAUUCAUCAAAUAUAUUUCCAGCAGCCAUCUCAAUAUUCCAUACUCAAAAUCAUCAUCAACAAGUACUAACAGCAAGUAUAACUUCAAAAUACACAACAUCAUCAAUCACAGCUAUGAUUCAACUCAAUUCCAAGAAUUAUUCACAGAAGCAACCAUAAACUAUUUACAAUUACUCAUUUAAUUUUAUUGGCAUUCAUAAUUUAAAACCUUUAUUUUUAAAAAAAAUCUCGUACCUCAGUUAGGCGAAACCGCAGAAUUUAAACACGACAAACCCACUUUCUCUAAAUUCACAGCUGCAGCUGCUUAGAACCAGCAGUAGCAACAGCAGUAACAUUAUCAAAAAUCAUAGCUAUAUGGGCUGAAACGAAAUAAAACGAGAAUAGGGUAACAAAUAAAAUAGCAGCAGAGCAAGAAUGGAAAAAGAGCAAAUUAGAGGAAGGGACCUAGACCAUAUCAGAGGUACGUCGACGGCAUCCCCUUUUUUUACUGAAACCGCAACGUUGACGAUGCAGCAGCGGUGGCGGCUGAACAGCCCUCUGUCUCUCGGCACCAGCCUCACACGACUCCUUUCCUUGUACUCAAGUCCCCUCUCUCCUUUUCGCACAUGCAACAGACAACGGCGGCUAUCACUAGAGCCUUCGGUAGUGGCAACGGGGUCACGGCGUGGCGGCGAUGACAGAGCCUUGGCGAUGGCGUUGAGCUCCUUACCUCAGCGGCGUUGUCCCCCUUCUCGGCCCUGACCCGAAUCUCCGGCGUCGCAGCAGUGGGCUUCCCUCCUCGGCCAUGGGCUCGCGUUCCUCUCUCGCGUUUCUACUCUCGACGGUGACGCGGUGCGGCGACGGGCGAUGGCGAGCUGGACGCGACGGCACAGCAGCAGCUUCACCCUCCUUCCUCCUUCUUUUUCGAAAGCUCUCUUCCUCUGUUUUCCUUUUCUCAGACUUCCCCUCUCUUUCUUUCAUCUUUCCACUAUUAGUGUAUGUGUGUGUCUUGUAUGGGUGUGGGUAAGAG